rnacentral:miRNA from 1 species
GAUAUUUCGGAACUGAGUCUAGUUCCUUCGAUAUCAGUGUAAUCUAAUAUUUAAAUAAAUAUUAGAUUACACUGAUAUCGAAGGAACUAGACUCAGUUCCGAAAUAUCGCU